AGUGAACGCUGGCGGUAGGCCUAACACAUACAAGUCGAACGGCAGCACAGUAAGAGCUUGCUCUUACGGGUGGCGAGUGGCGGACGGGUGAGGAAUACAUCGGAAUCUACUUUUUCGUGGGGGAUAACGUAGGGAAACUUACGCUAAUACCGCAUACGACCUACGGGUGAAAGCAGGGGAUCUUCGGACCUUGCGCGAUUAAAUGAGCCGAUGUCGGAUUAGCUAGUUGGCGGGGUAAAGGCCCACCAAGGCGACGAUCCGUAGCUGGUCUGAGAGGAUGAUCAGCCACACUGGAACUGAGACACGGUCCAGACUCCUACGGGAGGCAGCAGUGGGGAAUAUUGGACAAUGGGCGCAAGCCUGAUCCAGCCAUACCGCGUGGGUGAAGAAGGCCUUCGGGUUGUAAAGCCCUUUUGUUGGGAAAGAAAAGCAGCAGGUUAAUACCCCGCUGUUCUGACGGUACCCAAAGAAUAAGCACCGGCUAACUUCGUG
rnacentral:rRNA from 1 species